GGCCCAGUGGUCAAAAGGUUAAGACGUGUCUCUUUCAAUGACAAAAUGGGGAUUCGAUUUCCCCCUGGGCUA
rnacentral:tRNA from 1 species